rnacentral:rRNA from 1 species
AUUGAACGCUGGCGGCAGGCUUAACACAUGCCAGUCGAGCGGUAGCACAAGAGAGCUUGCUCUCUGGGUGACGAGCGGCGGACGGGUGAGUAAUGUCUGGGAAACUGCCUGAUGGAGGGGGAUAACUACUGGAAACGGUAGCUACUACCGCAUAACGUCGCAAGACCAAAGAGGGGGACCUUCGGGCCUCUUGCCAUCAGAUGUGCCCAGAUGGUCUUAGCUAGUAGGUGGGGUAAUGGCUCCACUAGGCGACGAUCCGUAGCUGGUCUGAGAGGCUGACCAGCGACACUGGAACUGAGACACGGUCCAGACUCCUACGGGAGGCAGCAGUGGGGAAUAUUGCGCAAUGGGCGCAAGCCUGAUGCAGCCAUGCCGCGUGUGUGAAGAAGGCGUUCGGGUUGUGAAGCACUUUCAGCGAGGAGGAAGGUGGUGAACUUAAUACGUUCAGCGAUUGACGGUACUCGCAGAAGAAGCACCGGCUAACUCCGUG